rnacentral:rRNA from 1 species
UAGGGAAUAUUGGGCAAUGGGCGGAAGCCUGACCCAGCCAUGCCGCGUGGAGGAAGACGGCCUUCUGGGUUGUAAACUCCUUUUAUCAGGGAAGAAAAUGCCCAUGCGUGGGAGCUUGCCGGUACCUGAUGAAUAAGCACCGGCUAACUACGUGCCAGCAGCCGCGGUAAUACGUAGGGUGCAAGGGUUGUCCGGAUUUAUUGGGUUUAAAGGGUGCGUAGGCGGCUUAUUAAGUCAGUGGUGAAAUGCUGUUGCUCAACGACAGAGCUGCCAUUGAUACUGCUAAGCUUGAGUACAGUCGGGGUAGGCGGAAUUUAUGGUGUAGCGGUGAAAUGCAUAGCUACAUAAGGAACACCGAUAGCGAAGGCAGCUUACUAGGUUGUAACUGACGCUGAUGCACGAAAGCGUGGGUAUCGAACAGGAUUAGAUACCCCUGUAGUCC